UGGUGACCUGAGGCUCCCUGACUGUCACUCUGUCCCAGCCCCACCUGGCCCGCGGGGCACAGGCUGAGUCCCAGUAAAGUCCGUGGGGUCCUGACCC
rnacentral:pre_miRNA from 1 species